UUGAGUAUAUGCUCCCUGAAGAUCAAGAGAGCAAAAUACUCUGCUAUUUGCCAAUUUAGCAAAUAAAUCACUCGCCACAGGCAAAGGGGAUUCUUAGUGUCAGUAGGAUCAUAGGACUAGCCACGCAAUGAUUCAGUACACCAACAAUCGGCUGCGAAGUUUGUUGUAACAGAAAGGAAAAAUUCCACAAAAGGAAUGUAAUGCCAAGACUUUGCUUUGCUUCAUAAGGCAAUAUACAUAAAUUUUUCUUCGUCGUAGCAAUACAUUUCGAAUAUCAUAUUAGUAUGUCGGAGUUCAUUAGUUAAAAUAAAUGCUGUUUUUAUCAAGCGAUUUACUAUUAUAAAUUACAUUGAAUGAAAAACAUUCAUUUUGUACAUGAUCUUAUAACUAUUCCAGGUUGCCCGUCAAGCAAUGUUGACAGCGUCGCUUCCACUCUAGUGCAGUUCAGAGCAGUCACAACCGAUAUGACUAUCCAGUUAUAGAAAUGACAUGACAUUUUGAGCUCGCGACAUAUAUAUGAAAACUGUGAACGAAAAUAAAUGCAGCUACCUAUCCAGAAUACACAUCCGUUGACGAUCAGCUUGAGGGAAUCCCUAAACACUGUUUAACACAUACAGCAACAGCAAUUGUACAACAAAAGUAA